rnacentral:rRNA from 1 species
GAAUUUUGGACAAUGGGCGCAAGCCUGAUCCAGCCAUGCCGCGUGCGGGAAGAAGGCCUUCGGGUUGUAAACCGCUUUUGUCAGGGAAGAAACGGUCUGGCCUAAUACGCUGGACUAAUGGCGGUACCUGAAGCAUAAGCACCGGCUACCUACGUGCCAGCAUCCGCGGUAAUACGUAGGGUGCGAGCGUUAAUCGGAAUUACUGGGCGUAAAGCGUGCGCAGGCGGCUUUGCAAGACAGAUGUGAAAUCCCCGGGCUUAACCUGGGAACUGCAUUUGUGACUGCAAGGCUUGAGUGCGGCAGAGGGGGAUGGAAUUCCGCGUGUAGCAGUGAAAUGCGUAGAUAUGCGGAGGAACACCGAUGGCGAAGGCAAUCCCCUGGGCCUGCACUGACGCUCAUGCACGAAAGCGUGGGGAGCAAACAGG